rnacentral:rRNA from 1 species
UGGGGAAUAUUGCACAAUGGGCGCAAGCCUGAUGCCGCCAUGCCGCGUGUAUGAAGAAGGCCUUCGGGUUGUAAAGUACUUUCAGCGGGGAGGAAGGGAGUAAAGUUAAUACCUUUGCUCAUUGACGUUACCCGCAGAAGAAGCACCGGCUAACUCCGUGCCAGCAGCCGCGGUAAUACGGAGGGUGCAAGCGUUAAUCGGAAUUACUGGGCGUAAAGCGCACGCAGGCGGUUUGUUAAGUCAGAUGUGAAAUCCCCGGGCUCAACCUGGGAACUGCAUCUGAUACUGGCAAGCUUGAGUCUCGUAGAGGGGGGUAGAAUUCCAGGUGUAGCGGUGAAAUGCGUAGAGAUCUGGAGGAAUACCGGUGGCGAAGGCGGCCCCCUGGACGAAGACUGACGCUCAGGUGCGAAAGCGUGGGGAGCAAACAGG